AAGGGUAUAGUUCAAUUUGGCAGAACUACAGACUCCAAAUCUGUGUGUUAGGGGUUCGAGUCCCUUUACCCUUG
rnacentral:tRNA from 1 species